UAGGAAAGAAAUCGUUAAGGGCGUAUGGCGGAUGCCUAGGCUUUCAGAGGCGAAGAAGGACGUGGUAAGCUGCGAAAAGCUGCGGGGAUUGGCACACACGAAUUGAUCCGCAGAUGUCCGAAUGGGGCAACCCAAUACAUUGAAGAUGUAUUACCUCUUAGGAGGAGCAAACCCGGAGAACUGAAACAUCUAAGUACCCGGAGGAAAAGAAAUCGAAGAGAUUCCGUAAGUAGUGGCGAGCGAAAGCGGAUUAGCCCAAAAGCUAAUAUAUGUUUAAUAGAAUGUUCUGGAAAGAACAGCCAUAGAGGGUGAUAGCCCCGUAUAUGAAAGGCAUAUUUGAGUGAUAAAUGAGUAGGGCGGGACACGUGAAAUCCUGUCUGAAUAUGGGGGGACCAUCCUCCAAGGCUAAAUACUCCUGAAAGACCGAUAGUGAACAAGUACUGUGAAGGAAAGGUGAAAAGCACUUCGAAUAGAAGGGUGAAAUAGAACCUGAAACCGUACGCCUACAAGCGGUCGGAGCAGCAUUAAGCUGUGACGGCGUGCCUUUUGCAUAAUGAGCCUACGAGUUAAUUUUACUAGCGAGGUUAAGGUAUUAAGUACCGGAGCCGGAGCGAAAGCGAGUCUGAAUAGGGCGCAUAGUUAGUAGGAUUAGACGCGAAACCUUGUGAUCUACCCAUGGGCAGGUUGAAGCUCUGGUAACACAGAGUGGAGGACCGAACCGGUUGACGUUGAAAAGUCUUCGGAUGACCUGUGGGUAGGGGUGAAAGGCCAAUCAAACUGGGAGAUAGCUCGUACUCCGAAAUGCAUUUAGGUGCAGCGUCGAUGUUAAGUUUAUUAGAGGUAGAGCUACUGAUUGGAUGCGGGGGUUUCACCACCUACCAAUUCCUGACAAACUCCGAAUGCUAAUAAAUGUUCGUCGGCAGUGAGGGCAUGGGUGCUAAGGUCCAUGUCCGAGAGGGAAAGAACCCAGACCAACAGCUAAGGUCCCAAAAAAGUUGAAGCAACGCGGUUGGACUGCAUUGACAGCUAGGAUGUUGGCUUGGAAGCAGCCAUUCAUUUAAAGAGUGCGUAACAGCUCACUAGUCGAGCGGUCCGGCAUGGAUAAUAAUCGGGCAUAAACAUAUUACCGAAGCUAUGGAUUUAUAUUUUAGAUAUAUCUGGUAGGAGAGCAUUCUAUUUGCGCCGAAGCAGUACUGUGAGGUAUUGUGGAGCGGAUAGAAAAGAAAAUGUAGGCAUAAGUAACGAUAAAGCAGGCGAGAAACCUGCUCACCGAAAGACCAAGGCUUCCUCAGCCAUGCUAAUCAGCUGAGGGUUAGUCGGGACCUAACGCGAACCCGAAAGGGGUAGUGGAUGGACAAUGGGUUAAUAUUCCCAUACUUGCUCACGAAUAAAGGGACGGUUGGAUGUAGCUGCUGGAGACUGACGGAAUAGUCAAGGCCUAGCCUUCGGGCGAAGCUGCUGCAGUGUAAUCUGAUCCAA
rnacentral:rRNA from 1 species